rnacentral:rRNA from 1 species
AUUGAACGCUGGCGGCAUGCCUAACACAUGCAAGUCGGACGAGUGGCGAACGGGUGAGUAACAUCUGGGAACCUGCCCGAUAGAGGGGGAUAACUAAUCGAAACAUUAGCUAAUACCGCAUACAAUCCGAUCGGCCCAGAUCUGAUUAGCUAGUAGGGGGGGUAACGGCCCACCUAGGCGACGAUCACUAGCGGGUCUGAGAGGAUGACCAGCCAACAUGGAACGUAGACCCGGUCCAGACUCCUACGGCAGGCAGCAGUGGGGAAUAUUGGACAAUGGGCGCAAGCCUGAUGCAGCCAUGCCGCGUGUAUGAAGAAGGCCUUCGGGUUGUAAAGGACUUUCGGCGAGGAAGCGUUACUCGCAGAAGAAGCACAGGCUAAAUCCGUGCCAGCAGCCGCGGUAAUAC